CCUACGGGUGGCAGCAGUGAGGAAUAUUGGUCAAUGGGCGCGAGCCUGAACCAGCCAAGUCGCGUGAGGGAAGACGGUCCUAUGGAUUGUAAACCUCUUUUGUCGGGGAGCAAAAGACGCCACGCGUGGCGUUCCGAGAGUACCCGAAGAAAAAGCAUCGGCUAACUCCGUGCCAGCAGCCGCGGUAAUACGGAGGAUGCGAGCGUUAUCCGGAUUUAUUGGGUUUAAAGGGUGCGUAGGCGGGACCUUAAGUCAGCGGUAAAAUUGCGGUGCUCAACGCCGUAGAGCCGUUGAAACUGGGGUUCUUGAGUGAGCGAGAAGUAUGCGGAAUGCGUGGUGUAGCGGUGAAAUGCAUAGAUAUCACGCAGAACCCCGAUUGCGAAGGCAGCAUACCGGCGCUCAACUGACGCUGAGGCACGAAAGUGCGGGUAUCGAACAGGAUUAGAUACCCGUGUAGUC
rnacentral:rRNA from 1 species